rnacentral:sRNA from 1 species
ACAGAGCAGCCUGGCAGUGUCCAAGCAACAAGCCUCGGCCCCUCCUUCCUGCACCCUGGGGCUCCUGAAACUCACCUGGGUAAAAAAGAUACAGUAAAGACAUAAAUACCACGUUUGACAAAUGGAAAAAAAGGAGUGUCCAGAAAAGAGUAGCAGCAGUGAGAAAGAGCUGCCGAGACGUGGAUCCAGUAGGAAUGUAGAUGCAUCCGAACUCAUAAUACUACAAGGACCACGGAAACUGUUGGUUGACAAUAGCUUACAGGAACUGCAAUACCCAAAAACUGGAAUUUUUAUUCAGGCUGAGGCCUGUGUGACAGAUGAUACGGUAUACAGGGAGCUACCCCGUGUUUCUGAGAUCCGUUAUGACAUCUCACAUUUUUUCCAAGAAGAUGAUGAGACAGAGGCAGAGCCAUUCUUGUUCCAUGCUGUUCCUGAGAGUCAACUAUGUGGGUGGGACAUUCCCAGGUAAGAAAAGCUAUUCUGUUGGAAAACUAUUGGGCGCUGUGUCUCAAUAUCACAGAGGAACAUGAGAAUUAGAGGAAUUUGGGUGUUUUUCAUCGAACUCAGGGGAGAAUGAAUGAGCUUAUGCAAUAUUAGCAAUGAAUCCAGAAAUUUUUGAAACAAACCUUAAGCAAUGACGUUUUUUUCCUUGGAGGUGUCUAGAGAACCUAUACACAAAAAGGCAAUGAGCAAUGCAAUCGAAGACCAGUGGGUUAUUGGUUAAGCUGUUACUCAAUGCAUAAAACCAACCUAAUUCUCUAGGAAACUGGCUGAUGAUGAGGCUGAAGGCCGCAGUGGGGUCCUGAGGUUUAACACCAGGGAGGGGAGAAUGCAUCUAUUUGUAGGGUAUGCCAAUUUCCAAGGGUUGAAUAUCCCCAUCAUGGCAGAUUUCAAACUACCAACGUGAAGCCCCUGAUGAGGGAGUUGAAAGAACACAUGCAGAAGUCUGUCAUCCUACUUUCACCACACAGGUACAAGAGACAUAAAUAACCUCAAGGGCAUAGACUGCUGAAAAGUGUAGAAAAAUGACUGGAAAUUGGUAUGUUU